UACGGGGGGGGCAAGCGUUGUUCGGAAUUCUUGGGCGUAAAGGGCUCGUAGGCGGUUUGUCGCGUCGGGAGUGAAAACACCGGGCUUAACUCGGUGCUUGCUUUCGAUACGGGCAGACUAGAGGAAUGCAGGGGAGAACGGAAUUCCUGGUGUAGCGGUGAAAUGCGCAGAUAUCAGGAGGAACACCGGUGGCGAAGGCGGUUCUCUGGGCAUGUCCUGACGCUGAGGAGCGAAAGUGUGGGGAGCGAACAGG
rnacentral:rRNA from 1 species